GAGCCCUCAGAAAUAAACUGAUAUCAAUAAUUAAUAUGGAUGGUGAUUGUGGCAAGGGUGCCUCCAUAAGGUGCCAUCCAGAAGUCCCAGCCUGGAGCCAGUGGCUGCUAUUGCAAGACUCAUGGGAGAUGAUCUGCAGGCAAAGCUGCGAUUAGACACUUGACAUUUACUGCGAAAGGUACCAUCAGAGCACCUCUCCCUACCCUGCAGGAUAUCUAUACCAGAAAAGUACAACAACGGCCCAAAACUAUUUCCAAAAGACAUUUCACACCCUGACCAUGGACUGUUUAAACCACUGAGGUCAAGCAGACGUCUCUGUUCCCACAUGGCUAAAACAGAAAGGA